GUGAGGAAUAUUGGUCAAUGGGCGGGAGCCUGAACCAGCCAAGUCGCGUGAAGGAAGAAGGAUCUAUGGUUCGUAAACUUCUUUUGCAGGGGAAUAAAGUGCAGGACGUGUCCUGUUUUGUAUGUACCCUGAGAAUAAGGAUCGGCUAACUCCGUGCCAGCAGCCGUGGUAAUACGGAGGAUCCGAGCGUUAUCCGGAUUUAUUGGGUUUAAAGGGUGCGUAGGUGGUUUGAUAAGUCAGCGGUGAAAGUUUGCAGCUUAACUGUAAAAAUGCCGUUGAAACUGUCGGACUUGAGUGUAAAUGAGGUAGGCGGAAUGCGUGGUGUAGCGGUGAAAUGCAUAGAUAUCACGCAGAACUCCGAUUGCGAAGGCAGCUUACUAAGCUACAACUGACACUGAAGCACGAAAGCGUGGGGAUCAAACAGGAUUAGAAACCCCGGUAGUCC
rnacentral:rRNA from 1 species